UACGUAGGGUGCAGGCGUUAAUCGGAAUUACUGGGCGUAAAGCGUGCGCAGGCGGCCUCUUAAGUCAGAUGUGAAAUCCCCGGGCUUAACCUGGGAACUGCGUUUGAAACUGGGAGGCUAGAGUGUGGAAGAGGGGGGUGGAAUUCCAGGUGUAGCGGUGAAAUGCGCAGAUAUCAGGAGGAACACCGGUGGCGAAGGCGGAUCUCUGGGCCUUACCUGACGCUCAGGCGCGAAAGCUAGGGGAGCGAACAGG
rnacentral:rRNA from 1 species